GAUGAAGAACGCAGUGAAAUGCGAUAAUUAAUGUGAAUUGCAGAAUUCAGUGAAUCAUCGAGUCUUUGAACGCACAUUGCGCCCCCUGGUAUUCCGGGGGGCAUGCCUGUCCGAGCGUCAUUGCUGCCCUCAAGCACGGCUUGUGUGUUGGGCUUCCGUCCCUGGCAACGGGGACGGGCCCAAAAGGCAGUGGCGGCACCAUGUCUGGUCCUCGAGCGUAUGGGGCUUUGUCACCCGCUCCCGUAGGUCCAGCUGGCAGCUAGCCUCGCAACCAAUCUUUUUAACCAGGUUGACCUCGGAUCAGGUAGGGAUACCCGCUGAACUUAGGCAUAUCAAUAAGCGGAGGA
rnacentral:misc_RNA from 1 species